AUUUAAAGGUGUCCGUGAUUGCGUGUUUCUGUGAAUUGAUGUAGAGGAGUGUAGAUUUCGGUAACAGUUUUCAUAAGCAAUGUGAGCAACGGUUUUGCCUUGGGUGGAGAAUCAGUGCGUAUAGAAUCAUAGAAUGCUACCCUAGAAAUUACCGUGAAGAGGUCUGAAUCCAGAGGGUGUCAGUCACAACAGGCUUGUGGGUUCAUAAACUCCUAAAAUAUAUUGGAAGGAAGCCAAAUAACUUCUUUAUGCGCUGCAUGACGAGAAGGCGUGAGUGCUGCUCUGCAGCUUGUUCAAAGAUCUCGCU